GAUGAACGCUGGCGGCGUGCCUAAUACAUGCAAGUCGAGCGAACAGACGAGGAGCUUGCUCCUCUGACGUUAGCGGCGGACGGGUGAGUAACACGUGGAUAACCUACCUAUAAGACUGGGAUAACUUCGGGAAACCGGAGCUAAUACCGGAUAAUAUAUUGAACCGCAUGGUUCAAUAGUGAAAGUCGGUUUUGCUGUCUCGUAUCGAUGGAUAGCAGCCGGUUUAGGGAGUUGGGACGGUCACGGCUUACCAAGGCGAGUAGGCGUAGCCGAGCUGAGGGGGUGAUCGCCCACACUGGAGCGGGGACGCGGACCAUGCGCCUACGGGAGGCAGCAGACGGGAAUCUUCCGCAGUGGGCGAGAGCCUGACGGAGCAGCGCCGCGUGAGUGGUAAAGGUCUUCGGAGCGUAAAGCUCUGUUAUUAGGGAAGAACAAAUGUGUAAGUAACUAUGCACGUCUUGACGGUACCUAAUCAGAAAGCCACGGCUAACUACGUG
rnacentral:rRNA from 1 species